rnacentral:rRNA from 1 species
UACGUAGGGGGCAAGCGUUGUCCGGAUUUAUUGGGCGUAAAGAGCGUGUAGGCGGCUAGAUAGGUCCGUUGUGAAAACUGGAGGCUCAACCUCCAGCUGUCGAUGGAAACCAUCUGGCUAGAGUCCGGAAGAGGAGAGUGGAAUUCCUGGUGUAGCGGUGAAAUGCGUAGAGAUCAUGAGGAAGACCAGUGGCGAAGGCGGGUCUCUGGACAGUUCCUGACACUGAGACACGAAGGCCAGGGGAGCAAACGGG